AUAGAAAGCCGUUAGGUGAGGCUCCUAUAUGGAAAAUGCUACUGCUCAGAAACGUCGAAAAACGCCAAUGAGUCAGCCGUCCUAGUUAAAAUAAGGCUUGGACUAACGUAGCUGUUACUAACACUAACUACGCCAUAUAGUGCUAAAACUCAACGAUUGGCAAUAAGA
rnacentral:sRNA from 2 species